GACACUGAGGGAACCACAAAGAAAGCCACAUAAAGGCACAAGUCAAACUUCUGAAAACCAAAGAUAAAGAAGCAAUCUUGAAAUAAGUGAUAGAGAAUCAGUGAUAGAGAAACAACUACCCCAUAGUGGGAGAACAGUUCAAAUGACAAAGGAUUUCUCAUAAAAGAACACGGAGGCCAGAGGAAGGUUGUACAGCAUUUCUCCAGUGCUAAAAGAAAACUGUAAAGCAGCAAUCCUAUAUCCAGUGAAAAUAUCUUUCAGGAGUAAAAAGGAAAUGACGACAUUUGCAGACAGAAGGAAAAACUAAAGAGUGUUUGUCACUAGAAGACCUACCCUAAAAAAAUGUCUAAAGAGAAAGGAAAUGAUUAAAGAAGGAAUCUUUGGUCACCAAGAAGGAAGGAAGAACACAGAAUCAGAAAAUACAGACCAGCCAGAAAAACUUGAAUGGUAAGAGAAAUGUUUCCCCCCCAACAGCUGGCAUCCUCAUCAGGAUAAACCUUAACUGACUAAAUACUACUCGCUGGGGGACUACUGCGCUCAGGAAGUCUGGGACAUCUCACAAAACAUGGCAGAAGUCUUUUCCUUUUAGAAUUCGUGCUCCACUGGUCAUGCUCCAGAGAGUUCUGAGAUUUUCUAUAACAUAAACCAGAGGCUGGAAUUGUUGAAUCAAAGGAUAAAUGCAUUCAAAAUG